UGAGGAAGUGCUGCACUUUGCCCAGAAUCUGAAGCUGAGAAAACCACCGUGCAUCUACUAGAUUUGGAGAAUAUGUCAUAUUAUCGUACCUUGUUUAAAGACACCAAGGCAGGCAAGCUAAGCUACCAAGGUAACACGUGAGACACUCAUCAUCGUCUUGUAAAAAAUCUGCUAAUAUCUCUCCCCCGUUCCAAGAGCACAUUGCGCCUCCAACGUGGCCUAGUGAAAUUACUUCAGAAUUAUUCCCUGUUCCGCCCCUCCCCGGUGUUAUGCAGACUUUGCUACUGUGAAAUAGCAAGUAGGCUUUACUGGAAAUGGAAGUUCACAGACCAAGAAUCACGAUCUGCAUCUGUCAUUUUCUCACUACAGAAGUUUGCUUCGGAUCUUAGUGAGACUGUACAGGCCCUGCACUUGGGAGCAGCAGCCAAACCAGCCUGCAGGGACCAAGAAAAUAACACUGCAUUACAGAAGAUUUGAGGAGAAUGCAGUUAAAGCAGGAAGAAAAGACGGAUGCUGGAACAGAAGUUUGGUUAUGCAGCAUCAAAAAAAAAAAGAGAGAAUCUAGGAAGGAAGGUCCGGAAGGUCUUGUCCUUACUACACUACAUAGUUGUGGUUUAUGGGAUCAUCUCAACUGCACUCAAAGCAAUUUGGGGAAAAGCUGGGAAACUUAGGCACAAAGAUACGGCAAAGCUGCUGCUUUGCUGCAGUGACUGCAGCCGUAAGGUUUGUUAGCACAGAGGAAACACUGGAUGGGGUCGCCUGCUGUCCUACAGACAGCCCUGGCGUCGGUUCAGCCCCAUUUCACAUUCACAUUUUCUGUACUGCGUGUGGAAAUACGACAGACUCAGGGAAUUUGAACACACUUUAACAAGAAACUUUCUAAACCACCCCGUGCGGGUGGGCAGGGCAUUUCUGUGUUCUCCAAGCACCGUGUUUGUUGAUGUGUCUUUAAUCCCAUACCCACACCCCACGUAUAGGGCCCCGAGGGGCACGUUACCUUCCUCCAGGCCCACCUCAGGCCCCGGUCACCGCGCACACUACGCCCCUACCCCGCACCACGACCCCCGGAGCCACCUGCGCCCCGCGGGGUGCAGCAAUCAGCCCCCCACCCAGCCCCUCCGCCACGAACACCCCACAAACCCGAGGGACCGGCUCAGCCCCGCCGCUCUCCCGGUUGGAGCCGAGCCGUGCCCCCCUCCCCGCCUCCCCCCCCCCGUACCUGUGGCGUCUCCGGGCGGCGGGCGAGGCCGGGGGCAGGCGGGGGGCCGCCCCGCUCACCAUGGCAGCGCGGCUCGGCCCGGCACUGCCCCGCUGCCUUCCCGCCCGCCCGCCCGCCGCGCGCAUGCUCGCCCCUCACACGGGCAUGCGCCGCGCCGAGACGCUGACGGGGCUGAGGGAGGGAGGGGGCGGCCGCCUGGCGAGCGCGGAAAGGAAGCGAGAAAUAAGUGCACCUGCGUGCUGUUUUCUGCACUCCUGAUCCCACCGGUGCCGGCAGCCUCCCAGCACCUACCAAGUUACCUUCGGGAGCCUGAGGGAAGGAGGAAGAAACCCUGUUAUUGA
rnacentral:lncRNA from 1 species